rnacentral:misc_RNA from 1 species
GAGAGAUUUUAUUUAUUUAAAGGAUUUGUUUAUUUAAUAGAUCAUUAGAAACAGCAAUUUGCCUCCCUUUUUCUCCCCUGCAGGGUUUAUUCACGUGUGGGCAUGCUAAACUGUCUAUACUCGGAUUUAUUCCAGUCUUUGACACACUGCUUUUCAUUUUUUCUUACCUCAUCUUUGGCCUGUAAAGAAUUUAAAAUUUGCUACUUCAUUUGUAUCAGAUAUUUAGAUCGCUUCUAGGUACUUGCUUAAGCAGUCUUUUGGAUGAUGGCUUGCUAAACUUUCAGCCUUUUUUCCUCUCUUCUUCAAACAGUAUUAACCAUGAGUACAAGAA